GCCCCAAUAACUCAGUUGGUAGAGUAUUUCCUUUUUAAGGAAAGAGUCUCAGGUUCAAAUCCUGAUUGGGGUA
rnacentral:tRNA from 5 species